AUCUUGAUGUUUUUCAGGGCUUAUAUGUGACCAAGUUAAUUAUCUCAAAAUUUCUUUUUUAUCUUCUGUAUGUUUCCCCCUUAUUUUUUAGAAGUCUAUUCAGAAAGAAAUAACAACAAAGAAGAAUUCAAGCCUGAAUUUGCUGCAUUAUAAUGAUUUGAGCAGUACCAUUUUUAUUUUUGCCAGUAAGGAGAUUUUUGCUAUAGGAAGGCAAUCUUAUUAUUUAUUUGUUUAAAACAUUUGCAUGCCGCCUAUUGUGACACAGCACCUCUGGGCAUCUCACAAUCAUAAGAUAAAAAACACAAUCCAAAACUAAUUACAACAGUUAAAAAUACAAUAUGAAUAAAAUACAGAUAAAAAUGCAAACAGAGGCUAUGGUAUAUCCAAAAAGAAUGUAGGCUAUUUUAGAUAUUCUCUCCCAAGACCUCUCUCAAUAACACUUUCCCAGUAGUGCCUCCCAUAAUGGACACUAUUAUGGCUCCAGGAAGGGGAACUCAAUAAUAGGUUCUUCCUAUCUCCACCUCUCUGCCAUACCCAAAGCAGGAAGAACUUCAGAGCAUUCUAGUGGGUGGAGAGGUGAGAGAACAAGGAUUCUAUCGUCUUUCUGGCAUCCAUCCCACCCACCACUAGUAAGCUACUAAGUGGCCUUACAUGUGAGCAGGUGGACCCCAUCUUUCAUCUGCUCAGCUUAGCUCUAUUGGGAAUGCAGUUUCUCCCCCACCCCUAAGUUUAGCCCCUGCUCAGUGCAGGAUGUAUCUACAGCAUCUCUGACUUGAGUCUGAUGAAAAUACCUUGAAUAAAGGAGGGUCCAUCACCAUUCUAGACAGUUUGUUCCACUAUUGAACAUUUCUUACUGAUGCCAGGUUUCCCCCAAUGUUUAGAGGAAAUAUCUUUCCUUGAAUUUCCAUCCCUUGGUCUCAGCCUGCCCCCUGGAACAAGAGACAACAAGCCUACUCCAACUUUUGAAUUCCUUUCCUUCAAAGUGCCUUCUUCCACUGAGUAUGCACAGAAGCCCUUUUCUGAAUUGCAUAUGUCAAGCCCUUAACAUGAACAUGGGUGGAACUGUACAUUUCAGGAAACAGGAGUGGAAUACCUGAGAUAUGUGGGGCACAGACCUUUCAGCAAGGUUUCUUCUUCUUUUUCUUGUGGGGUAACUAAAGGCUCCAAUCUACCAAGCAGCUGAGCAAGCUUUUGUUUCCCAUGCGACCCCCAGAAAGGCAUGAGAUGCUAAGAAGUGGUGCUGAAGAAGGCUGCAGUUGUCGGCCAAAACUCUGGGGCUUUGCAACUAGCCUGCAUUUUAUUUAUGUGGAUGGGUGUUUGUCCAUACUAAAAACCCCAACCACUUGACAAUAAUAAAACCACUGCACAGUAAAAUAACAUAUAAAAAUGAAAACAAGCAAUGGAGGAACCACCAGCCAGCUAAAAGCAUUGACCAUCAAUAGCUCAGAAGGUUGGGAAAUGAUCAAGUCGAAAGACGAAAGAACUACUGGAACAAGAUGACCUUCCCAUAAGAACAAAAAUCAUCCAAGAUGGAUAUGGAUAGGAAUCCACUAGAAGGGAUUUCCAUAGCCUGUGAUCACCCCACUGAAGUCCUCUUCUGCUCCCAUGCUAGAUAUAUUUAUUUCAUUCUUAGUUAAGUCAUCACCUAAAUUUUUAUAAAUGCACUUCAGAUGUUGGUAGGAAAUAGAGGAGAACUUUUCCUGAAAAUGCUUGGGCAUUUUUCUAUCAGAGAACUGGGGGUUCUCUACUCAGGAAACCUGGUUCAUUGCUCUUUGAAUGCAUUAUUAGUAGUAUUGUGGUUGUUGUCAUUGUUGUUUCUAUACCACCAAUAGCCCAAGCUCAACUUAAGUAUUUAUGUAUUUGCACCCCACUUUUCUACCAAGAACAGCUCUCAAGUCAGCUUUCAAGCACAAAUUAACCAAUUUAGGACUGGGAAAUGGCCUGUGCCGUAAUUCCAUUCUGUACAUCUCCUCCAAAGAAUCCUCAGAGAAUCCCUCACUGGCAUCUUGGAACUCGGAACUACUGGUUAUUCACUGAUGCUAUUCUAAAAAAUACUAAAAGGAAACAUAAUCUCUGACCAAUGUUCAACUCUGUCACUGUGCCAAUAAAGUGAAGCAUUUUGUAAAAGAAAAUCUGUACGUGCACACAAAUUAGCUUGAUCUAUUGAUGGGAAAACAAUUGUAUCUUGACAAUGUAUUAUUAACAUCAGCCCUUGGUGACCCAAAUCUUCAAAAACAUGCAUAUAAUGUCAACAAGAUUAUCUAAAUAUCUGCUUUCAAUGCAAAGCUGAGAAAUGUAAAAAUGUCUGUGGGAUUGGAGAACUAAAGCAAAUAUUCUGGAAACUUUUUAGACUGAACUCAGCAAAACAAACUCGCCUUUAAGUUGAUCCAUGGAGUCCAAUCUCCUAAACUGAA